AUACGGAGGGGGCAAGCGUUAUUCGGAUUUACUGGGCGUAAAGGGUGCGUAGGCGGUUGCGCAAGUCUGGUGUGAAAGCUUCACCGCUCAACGGGAAGUGGUCACUAGAAACUGCGCGACUGGAGUGUGGUAGAGGCAGGCGGAAUUCCUGGUGUAGCGGUGGAAUGUGUAGAUAUCAGGAAGAACACCCGUGGCGAAGGCGGCCUGCUGGGCCACUACUGACGCUGAGGCACGAAAGCGUGGGGAGCAAACGGGAUUAGAAACCCCAGUAGUCC
rnacentral:rRNA from 1 species